AUCUAAGAGAUUAGACGUUCCCUUCGGGGACAUGGAUACAGGUGGUGCAUGGUUGUCGUCAGCUCGUGUCGUGAGAUGUUGGGUUAAGUCCCGCAACGAGCGCAACCCUUAUUAUCAGUUGCCAGCAUUAAGUUGGGCACUCAGGUGAGACUGCCGGUGACAAACCGGAGGAAGGUGGGGAUGACGUCAAAUCAUCAUGCCCCUUAUGACCUGGGCUACACACGUGCUACAAUGGAUGGUACAACGAGUUGCGAACUCGCGAGAGUAAGCUAAUCUCUUAAAGCCAUUCUCAGUUCGGAUUGUAGGCUGCAACUCGCCUACAUGAAGUCGGAAUCGCUAGUAAUCGCGGAACAACUUGCCCCGGUGAAUACUUUCCCCGGGUCUUUGACCCACCCAAUUCGAAUUUCCCCCGGCCCACC
rnacentral:rRNA from 1 species